UUCAGUUGCAGCACUUUGUUUGACAGUUAUGAAUAUCUCUAUGACUUGUGAGUACAGGACACCCCCACUUCAUGAUACUCCAUAAGGUGCAUGAUUCAGCAGACAUUCGAAGAUCUGGUACCUCUGUGACUAAGGACCUAAAGGUUACGUUCUUAAGAGAAUAAUUUAUCAGAUCAUUGCUCUAAUGUGAAUCUUCCCCUAGGAGAGAUUCAUACUUGGUCUAUACUAAUUCACUUUUGUGACACUAAAGUUAUUGGUUGUCUCUGCUGCCAACUAAAAGUAGAACCAAAUAACAACAUGAUACAGGAA
rnacentral:lncRNA from 1 species